ACUCAAAUGAAUUGACGGGGGUCUAUACAAGUGGUGGAACAUGUGGUUUAAUGCGAUACUACGCGCCUAACCUUACCAGUUCUUGAAUUGCAGCAUGUUUUUUGUAAAAAAAACAAUUUUUAAUCUUUUGUAAAAAAUGCUGUACAGGUGUUGCAUGGCUGUCGUCAGCUCGUGUCGUAAGAUGUUUGGUUAAGUCCCUUAACGAGCGCAACCUCAACUUGCAUUUCUCUCAGUUUUCUGAAAGAUGCAAAAACUGCCCAAUACAAAUGGGAGGAAGGUGGAGAUGACGCCAAGUCCUUAUGGCCCUUAUGGACUGGGCCACACACAUGUUACAAUGGGAAAUACAAUAUGUUACAAAGAUUUUAUCUUGUUUAUCAAUAAUAUUUGCCUUAGUUCGGAUUGAAGGCUGCAACUCGCUUUCAUGAAGGUGGAAUCACUAGUAAUCGUGGAUCAGGAUGCCACGGUGAAUUUGUACCUGGACCUUGUACACACCGCCCGU
rnacentral:rRNA from 1 species